rnacentral:rRNA from 1 species
GUAACAGGAAACAGCUUGCUGUUUCGCUGACGAGUGGCGGACGGGUGAGUAAUGUCUGGGAAACUGCCUGAUGGAGGGGGAUAACUACUGGAAACGGUAGCUAAUACCGCAUAACGUCGCAAGACCAAAGAGGGGGACCUUCGGGCCUCUUGCCAUCAGAUGUGCCCAGAUGGGAUUAGCUAGUAGGUGGGGUAACGGCUCACCUAGGCGACGAUCCCUAGCUGGUCUGAGAGGAUGACCAGCCACACUGGAACUGAGACACGGUCCAGACUCCUACGGGAGGCAGCAGUGGGGAAUAUUGCACAAUGGGCGCAAGCCUGAUGCAGCCAUGCCGCGUGUAUGAAGAAGGCCUUCGGGUUGUAAAGUACUUUCAGCGGGGAGGAAGGGAGUAAAGUUAAUACCUUUGCUCAUUGACGUUACCCGCAGAAGAAGCACCGGCUAACUCCGUGCCAGCAGCCGCGGUAAUACGGAGGGUGCAAGCGUUAAUCGGAAUUACUGGGCGUAAAGCGCACGCAGGCGGUUUGUUAAGUCAGAUGUGAAAUCCCCGGGCUCAACCUGGGAACUGCAUCUGAUACUGGCAAGCUUGAGUCUCGUAGAGGGGGGUAGAAUUCCAGGUGUAGCGGUGAAAUGCGUAGAGAUCUGGAGGAAUACCGGUGGCGAAGGCGGCCCCCUGGACGAAGAC